GCUUUUCUGGAGUAUUUUAUAGGUAAAGGUGCUGAAGACACUGUUUAAGAUUGUUUUAUUGGAGGAAAGUAACAACCAGUGGAAUUUUAGCAGACCAAUUCUGAGCUUGAUACUUAUUUAUGAGCAGGACACAAGUUUCGGGAAAGAAGCAGAAAAGCAGGAGGAAAAGGAGCAGAAAAAGGAGCAGAAAAGCAGGAAAGGUGCCAGCCCAUCAUGAGAAGCCGAAGGAAAAAGCAAAAAAAAAAAAAAAAAAAAAAAGAGAAAGAAAGGAGAGACAUACGAAGGAGAGAGAGGGAGCCCAAAAAGAUAGCAGAAAAGGAGAGAGAGCCGUGUGUGGUGAAAAGAGAGUGAGGACGAAGGAGAGAGAGGAGGGGCGAAAGAGGGCGGCGAGACAGACGGAAGAAAGCACAGCAAAGGAGUCUGAGGGUUUUUUAAACUUAAUUUUAAUGUUUCUUAUUAUGAAUUCAGUGACAAUUUCAUCUUUGUUUCGGAAAAUUUGCGUAUGAAUUUCGUUUAUGUAAUUUUGGGUGUUCUGUUUAUAUCGUUAGAUUCGUCGUCCGAGUGUAUGAUUUGCUUCUGUUUUUUUUGUUUCAGGAGACGUUGCUCUACGUUUCUUUGGGCUUUUGUGUGCAGUUUUCGAAGCCCUUUGUGCUAAAGAACAGAAAUGAAUGUCCAAGCUAAAGGGGGGUCAGGCACACGGAACUGACCCAAAUAUUCUGCAAUAUUUAGGAAGUGGAAGAAAUAAAUAUUUGAGGUCUGAGAUAUACUUGUAUGAAAAAAGUUGAUUUUUUAAAAUUCUUCGUUUUUGGUUUUUUAAUUUUUUAACUUUUUAUGCAGGAAGAGGAAGAACCCAGAAAAUAUAUGUUCACCGGGUUUGAGGGAAUUGUGAAGAAAAAUCAUUAUCCUCUUUCCUUUUUGAAUUAAAAUAAAUAAAUUAGGCUUUAAUUUUUGAGCAAGUGCGUUGGACAUAAUCAUUACUUUCUAUUACAAUUAUUAAAAUUAAUUCAAUUAACUAAAGUUGAUUUGAAUGUAAUGAUGAUGGAGAUAUUUGCAUAGGCGAUGGAAUCUCGCUGACAACUUCCGAUAGAAUCUCUGCCUUUGAAAAAGCCACAAAAUAUGGGCUAGACAUCAUGAUAUGCCUCAAUUUUCCUUU